rnacentral:rRNA from 1 species
UACAGAGACUGCAAGCGUUAUUCGGAUUUACUGGGCGUAAAGGGCGCGUAGGCGGCCACCGCAAGUCGGUUGUGAAAUCUCUGGGCUUAACCCAGAAAGGUCAACCGAUACUGCGGGGCUAGAGUGCAGAAGGGGCAACUGGAAUUCUCGGUGUAGCGGUGAAAUGCGUAGAUAUCGAGAGGAACACCUGCGGCGAAGGCGGGUUGCUGGGCUGACACUGACGCUGAAGCGCGAAAGCUAGGGGAGCGAACGGG